rnacentral:lncRNA from 1 species
CCAGAAGCAAAGGAUUGGCAGCACCCAACAGAGCUAGGGAUAGAGCAACUCCUCCAGGCACUGUAACUGACAGGACCGGUUUCACACAAAAACCGAACAGGUGCCAACAUACCGUGAUAAUGGGCACAGUGUAAACACACUGAAAUUAAAUGCUUUCUGGAGCAUCACACAGCACAGAGGGCCUUUCUUUCUGAUGUGUUGGUGAAAGGCACCGUUGGACAGAGUCCCCUGCACAACCCGCACGUGCAACGAAGACCAAAGUAGCACCAGCCUCCUGCACUCUGACCCAAUGUGAC